rnacentral:rRNA from 1 species
GAUGAACGCUGGCGGCGUGCCUAAUACAUGCAAGUCGAGCGAACAGACGAGGAGCUUGCUCCUCUGACGUUAGCGGCGGACGGGAGAGUAACACGUGUAUAACCUACCUAUAAGACUGGGAUCACUUCGGGAACCCGGAGCUAAUACGGGAUGAUAUAUUGAACCGCGUGGUUCAGUAGUGAAUGACGGUUUUGCUGUCACUUAUAGAUGGAUCCGCGCCGCAUUAGCUAGUUGGUAAGGUAACGGCUUACCAAGGCAACGAUGCGUAGCCGACCUGAGAGGGUGAUCGGCCACACUGGAACUGAGACACGGUCCAGACUCCUACGGGAGGCAGCAGUAGGGAAUCUUCGGCAAUGGGCGAAAGCUUGACGGAGCAACGCCGCGUGAGUGAUGAAGGCCUUCGGAUCGUAAAACUCUGUUAUCAGGGAAGAACAAAUGUGUAAGUAACUAUGCACGUCUUGACGGUACCUAAUCAGAAAGCCACGGCUAACUACGUG